rnacentral:rRNA from 1 species
AACGAACGCUGGCGGCGUGCUUAACACAUGCAAGUCGAACGCGAAAGUUUUCUUCGGAAAACGAGUAGAGUGGCGCACGGGUGAGUAACGCGUAAGUUAUCUACCCUCCCAUCUGGAAUAACUCACCGAAAGGUGUGCUAAUACCGGAUACGUUGGAAACAAGAAAGGUGGCCUCUAUUUAUAAGCUACCGUGGGGGGAUGAGCUUGCGUACCAUUAGCUAGUUGGUAGGGUAAUGGCCUACCAAGGCAACGAUGGUUAGCGGGUCUGAGAGGAUGAUCCGCCACACUGGAACUGGAACACGGACCAGACUCCUACGGGAGGCAGCAGUGAGGAAUAUUGCGCAAUGGGGGAAACCCGUGACGCAGCGACGCCGCGUGGAUGAUGAAGGGCCCUUGGGGUCGUAAAAUCCUGGUCAGUUGGGAAGAAAUGCAUAUUGGCCAAUACCCAUUAUGUUUGACGGUACCAGCAAAGGAAGCACCGGCUAACUCCGUG